AAAUCAAAUAAAAACAAA
rnacentral:sRNA from 1 species